UUACCUGCCCACUGAUAAUAAUAAUUUAAUGGCCGCGGUAUCAAUGACCGUGCAAAGGUAGCAUAAUCAUUAGUCUUUUAAUGGAGGCUUGUAUGAAUGGUUGGACAAAAGGAAAACUGUCUUCUUUAAUAAAAAUUGAAUUUAACUUUUAAGUGAAAAGGCUUAAAUGUUUCAAAGGGACGAUAAGACCCUAUAAAGCUUUUAUAAAGAAUAAAAUUUAAGUUGAAGUUUACAAUUAAAAUGUUAAGGUUUAUGUUUUAUUAGGUUGGGGUAACUAAGGUAUAAUUAUAAAUAACUGCUUAAUGUAGAAACAAGUAUAUUUGUAUUAUAAGGUUAAAUGAUCCUUACAUAAAGAUUUAAAGAUUAAGUUACUUUAGGGAUAACAGCGUUAUUUUUUUUGAGAGUUCAUAUCGAAAAAAGAGUUUGCGACCUCGAUGUUGAAUUAAAAUUUCUAUAUAGUGCAGCUAUUAUAUAAGAAGGUCUGUUCGACCUUUAAUUUUUUACAUGAUUUGAGUUCAGACCGGUGUAAACC
rnacentral:rRNA from 1 species